CUUCUUUUACUUUCAUAAAAAAUGGCAAUUCAUUUGGCGAAUGGUGUUCUUAUGUUUUUUGUACUUGUAGUUUUCACAACUUCAUUUGCAGAAGCACAUAGAGGAGUUAUAGUUAAAACAGACAAAGAAGAAGCAAUCAGGAUUCAAGAUUGCCCAGAUAAACCUGAUUGUUUUAAUUUAUGGGGUCGGUGUAUAUGCCUAUUUGAAUCUCAAGUGCCAAAGACCAAGAAGGUAGAAGACAAUAGAGUCAUCCAUCAAGAUUGCGGAGCUGGUUGUUUUCCUGUAUUGGGUGAGUGUGUGUGCCAACCACCUAGCUCAGAAGAAGCAUCAAAGAUCGAGAAGGUAGAAGACAAUAGAGUCAUUCAUCAAGAUUGCGGAGCUGGUUGUUUUCCUGUAUUGGGUGAGUGUGUGUGCCAACCACCUAGCUCAGAAGAAGCAUGAAAGAUCAAGCCACCACCCAGUUCUCGACGGAGAGGAAGUAAAUUGAAAUUAGAAAUAAAAUAAAUGAAAUGAAAUUCUUCUCGCGAUUUCAUUUUACUUCAAUGUCUAAAUAGUGAGUACUACUAAUAGGCAGUUAUAAUAAAAUGUGGUUAACAUUAACC
rnacentral:lncRNA from 1 species